GACGAACGCUGGCGGCGUGCUUAACACAUGCAAGUCGAACGGAAAGGCCCUGCUUUUGUGGGGUGCUCGAGUGGCGAACGGGUGAGUAACACGUGAGUAACCUGCCCUUGACUUUGGGAUAACUUCAGGAAACUGGGGCUAAUACCGGAUAGGAGCUCCUGCUGCAUGGUGGGGGUUGGAAAGUUUCGGCGGUUGGGGAUGGACUCGCGGCUUAUCAGCUUGUUGGUGGGGUAGUGGCUUACCAAGGCUUUGAUGGGUAGCCGGCCUGAGAGGGUGACCGGCCACAUUGGGACUGAGAUACGGCCCAGACUCCUACGGGAGGCAGCAGUGGGGAAUAUUGCACAAUGGGCGGAAGCCUGAUGCAGCAACGCCGCGUGCGGGAUGACGGCCUUCGGGUUGUAAACCGCUUUCGCCUGGGACGAAGCGUGAGUGACGGUAAUGGGUAAAGAAGCACCGGCUAACUACG
rnacentral:rRNA from 1 species